rnacentral:lncRNA from 1 species
CACAGUCAGAUGCAGCCUGCAGGUUGCUAUGGUUUGUUCAUCCUGGUUGAUAAUUUAUCUUCUGAGGACUCUUGCAGGGAGACUGGAGGCUUUCUGUCCCAGCAACGCUCUCUCCUCUGGAGAGAAGAGUGAGCACAGGAAACAGGAAUGGGCAGGAAGCACGUGGAAAGCUCUGACUGGAGGUACUGGUGCAGUUCCACAUGAGAGUGAGUGGGCUUGCAUUAAAGCUGGUUGCUGCUGUGGCCCUCUGGGGUCCACCACAGCAGGAGACGAGGCUGUCCUAUUGCUUGACAUUACUGAUGGCAAUGACACAGACAAGUUUGGCGACUUUCACACUCAGCUCCCCAGUUCUAUAAUGCACUUGUUGGCAGAACUCAAAGCCCUUUGGAAAGGAGGCUCAGAGAAUAAGGAGCUGCUUGAACCCAUUGAAAAGAGAAAAAGAGAGGAAAGAAUCAUUAGUUUGAGGUUCAAAACACGAAUAAUGUAUUGGAUCUGCAGUAGUCGAUAACCCCCCUUGAGGAGCCCCUUGCAGCCACAUACAGAGUUAUAGACUACUGGAGGCACAUCCUAUACUUCUCCCGUGUUGCUGCAUUUCAGUUCAACAAGGUUCCUAUCCUUCGCUUACCUCGGUUCUCACAACUGGUAACUGCAAAUGUCAGGUCCGAUUGUCUUGUAUCUAGAAUGAUGUUUAUUUUAUUAAAUGAUUGUGCCUACAUCUUUCCUGAUUUUAAUAUGUUUAUUGCAGAUCAAAUACAAAUUACCAGAGUUUCAAAAGAAAUUGAAGACUAGAAGGAAGCUGUUCCCUGGUGCUCCAUUAGCGUAUCUGUGCCAGAACUCCAUUCUGUGUAAUAACACUUGCUCUGCGGCUCCUGGCGUGUCUUGUGUCUCUUUGAAGGCAUUGUCAGGGAGCCACAUUUCUAUCUGAUGCUGCCGCUGACUCCCAGAGGUUUCCCUAAGAGAAGGUUAUAGCUGCGUUAGAUAGGAGAGCAAAAGGAAUUGUCCUGAGCCUACUGUGUAGUUCAUGUGAACAUGGUUCACAUGAACAAACUGCAGCCAUUAGCAGAAAAUUUAUUUAGAGACCCUAGAGGGUGAGGAGAACAGGCUCGUACUGGACACUGUGUUGUAACUACAGGAUAUGACAGUUUCUAUGAGGGUUAACUAUCUCUUGGCCUUCAUUUCUCCUUGUUAUUUUGCGGAAAGGGCAGGAUUUGACUUUGAUGUAGCACCGUGUAGGUGAUAUCAUUUGGCAGGUAAGAACCUUGCUGACCUGCUGGGGAUUACACUGUAAAAUGGCAAAAAGAACUUGUUAAGGAGGGCACACGUUUUCUACCGAAGCAGCUUAGUUUUCAGUCAAAACAUAUAUACCAUUCUGGAUGGCAUUAUUACAUAGCUAAUGUAAAAUUAAGUGCAACAUUUGUGCUUUAAAUCAUCUGGCUGAGCAUUUUUCACAGAUUUUAGCCCAAUAAUUCUCCACAGGCCUAUUGUCCUGAAUGUGAGUCUCUGCUGAACUUUGAAAAAUGAAUUGCUGAAUAUGAUUUUUUAAUGUUUAACUUACUAUCACAAGAUGUACUUAAGAAAGCAUAGGCUAGAAUUUCUUCUCAAAGCAACAAAUUAUGACUCCAUUACUGUCUGUGCUAUUAUUAAUGAUUGCAGGAAGCUUAGGCUCUCAAUAUCCCUCUCAAGCUGCUAAGAAUGAAUAACGCUAUUGGGCCACACUUCAUUAUGGCCUUUUCAUCUGCUUUUGUAAUAACUGACUUGGUUAAUUGCAGCAUACUUAGUGGGCAUGACUUCAGUGUGUGUGCAGUAUAUGGUGUUUGUCUCCAUGGGAAUCUUUCCUCCCUCAGUGAUUUGAAGUGUUUCAGAGGAAUUUUUCUAGAGAGUUUCUAACAAGCAAUUUUCUUCUGUUCCUCCCUCCCUUCACCCCUUCUUCUGUUCCCUCUUAUCCUCUUUCUCAUCCCCUCUCUCUUUCUUAUUCUCUCCCUCUUUCUCUUUCUCCCUCUUUUUGUCUUCCUUUCUCUCUCUCUCCUUGUGUGUGUGCGUUUGUGUGCGUGUGUGCGCGCAUUUUAGGUGAAUUGUCAGCCUCUCCAUAUGUUUGGAAGGAUGGCACAAAUCACUCUGGUUAGAACUAAUUUUGUCUCUUGAUUUAAGAAGCAAUAGAAAAAUCAGAGACAGUUGAUCCUGACAAUGGAUGAUGCAACAGGACAUGGGAUGCAGAAAUCUGAAUUUGAAACACUUAUAAAACUUCACGUCAAAACACAUAUUAGUAAAGUCCCAAGCUAUAACUUAAAAGCAGUUUGUCCUACAGUACAGAUCUGUUUUUUAGAUCCUGUAUUGAACAUCAUUUAAAAAGAUGCUUUUUGUGGUAGUCAGUAAAUGAAUGUAUGAAAAAGCAUUUGAAAUCUUCACGGAGAAAUGUCUAUUCAAAUAGAACAGACAUGAAUCAAAAAUAAUAGGAACCUGUACACUCUGAGCCAAAUGUUUUGAUCGUGUCUCAUUGGAAAUGGGUGCAGAAAGUCUAAUUAUCUGCUUUCCAGGAUUUGUACAAUCACCUGUUCACAAAAGAAAGUCUCUUAGCCUUUAAUCUAUCUUAGCCUUGAGUUUCUGGAACAUUUUGAGAACCAACUUUGGCUACCGAGGAAGAGUAGGAAUAGAACUAGCUAUAGUAACAGUCAUCCUCAUUGUCUGUUGUACACACAAUCAUUCUGGCUCAGGUGUGUUGUUGUUUUGUUUGUUGUCUAGUCCAGAGCCCUACUGUUAAUACUGCUAUUAGAACCUUCUGCUGUUUCUAGAAUUCAGUUUGGGAAUGUUUUUCCAGAGCCACAUGGGUGUAAUUUCUUGGCUGGUUAUCCAGAUAUUUUGUACUAUGAACUUAUUACAGUCUCUAUCCAUAAGUCUCAAUCAACCACUUUUCUUUCAGCGCUCCCUCUUCUUCCCCUCUUUUAAACUCUUCCCUAUGCCUUUCAAACAACCUUAUCCUGGACUUCAUGCUCACAGGGAAGAAGACAGCAAGAGCAGUGCUCUCUCUAGGCAGAGCCCAGAGUUGCUUUAGGUUGAAAAACAAACGCAUUUUGUGUCAGGCUUAAAAACCCCUGUCGUGUACUCUCACUAUUUUCUUUAUUACAUACCCACACAUAGCACCCAGAGACUCAGAGCUGACUGUCUGGAUGUAUACAAGAGGAUAAUGAAUGAAAAGCCUCCCUAAAUAAGUCUGCAGACAUUUGGCCAAUAACCUAAAGCAAAGCCUGUACUAACAAUGUCACCAGCCCUGCGUUGGUAUUAUGCUUGUCAGUGCAUCUCAUUAAACAUCAGGAGAACCUCUGAAAUAUUUCAGUAAUGCUGUUUAUUGCAACACAUAAUUGCAUAUUAAACUGUUUUAUAUUACAGUUGAUAAAGUGGUUAUUCAUGUAUGACUGUAUAAGCCUCUAGUAAAUGUACAGAAAAACCUGUGUGCAUCAAUGUGGUGCUACAUUCUAAUAAAAGAGGAAGGAGGCUGGAAGAUGAUAAGAGA